GACAGAGGGGGCAAGCGUUGCUCGGAAUUACUGGGCGUAAAGGGCGCGUAGGCGGGCUGGCAAGUCGGUCGUGAAAUCCCUCGGCUCAACCGAGGAACGUCGAUCGAUACUGCUGUUCUUGAGGAUUGCAGAGGAGACUGGAAUUCCCGGUGUAGCGGUGAAAUGUGUAGAGAUCGGGAGGAACACCGGUGGCGAAGGCGGGUCUCUGGGCAAUUCCUGACGCUGAGGCGCGAAAGCGUGGGAAGCAAACGGG
rnacentral:rRNA from 1 species